rnacentral:sRNA from 1 species
ACGCGCUGGCGGGACCCUCAGGGCUUUACCAGCAACUACCCCAGUGCCGGGGAGGGUUCGGCUGCUUCGGAAGCUCGUAAGGCCUGAGCUCUACCCUUCUCCAAAAGAAGAGCCAAGAGAAGGUCCUUUUCUACAAAUAGCAGAGCCAUGGCUCAGGAGUCAGUGAUGUUCAGUGAUGUGUCCGUAGACUUCUCUCAGGAGGAGUGGGAAUGCCUGAAUGAUGAUCAGAGAGAUUUAUACAGAGAUGUGAUGUUGGAGAAUUACAGCAACCUGGUUUCAAUGGGUAAGGACAUCUGUCCAUAGUAAUUUAGAUUCUGCCCUUGGAAGGCCUACUUCCUCCAAUGUGAAAUGCUCACCUGGCUUUCAAAAACCAGUCGAAUUUUGACAUUCUGUUCCACAGGAAUGUUCUGAAUAUGGUAGAGUUAGAAAAAGGAAGCUGCAUUGAGUUUUUGGGGAUGUUUUACAUCUUCCGUU